UACGUAGGGUGCAAGCGUUGUCCGGAAUUACUGGGCGUAAAGGGCUCGCAGGCGGCCGACUAAGUCAGACGUGAAAUCCCUUGGCUUAACCAAGGAAUGGCGUCUGAUACUGGACGGCUUGAAUUCGGGAGAGGGAUGUGGAAUUCCAGGUGUAGCGGUGAAAUGCGUAGAUAUCUGGAGGAACACCGGUGGCGAAGGCGGCAUCCUGGACCGAUAUUGACGCUGAGGAGCGAAAGCCAGGGGAGCAAACGGG
rnacentral:rRNA from 1 species